UACAGAGGUCUCGAGCGUUAGGCGGAAUCACUGGGCUUAAAGCGUGUGUAGGUGGAUCGUUAAGUACCUUGUGAAAUCCCACGGCUUAACCGUGGAACUGCUUGGUAUACUGGCGGUCUUGAGCCACUUAGGGGCUACCGGAACAAAUGGUGGAGCGGUGAGAUGCGUAGAUAUCAUUUGGAACGCCAAUGGUGAAAACAGGUAGCUGGGAGUGUGCUGACACUGAGACACGAAAGCCAGGGGAGCGAACGGG
rnacentral:rRNA from 1 species